rnacentral:rRNA from 1 species
UUCUGGUUGAUCCUGCCAGAGGCCACUGCUAUCAGAGUUCGAUUAAGCCAUGCGAGUCGAGAGGUGCAAGACCUCGGCAUACUGCUCAGUAACACGUGGACAAUCUAACCUACGGAAGAGGAUAACCCCGGGAAACUGGGGAUAAUACUCUAUAGACCAUGGAAGCUGGAAUGCUCUGUAGCCGAAAGGUCCGCCGCCGUAGGAUGGGUCUGCGGCCGAUUAGGUUGUUGUUGGGGUAACGGCCCAACAAGCCUGUAAUCGGUACGGGUUGUGGGAGCAAGAGCCCGGAGAUGGAUUCUGAGACACGAAUCCAGGCCCUACGGGGCGCAGCAGGCGCGAAAACUUUACAAUGCGGGAAACCGUGAUAAGGGAACUCUGAGUGCCCGUUAAAUCGGGCUGUCCAUCAGUUUAAAAAACUGGUGAAGAAAGGGCCGGGCAAGACCGGGGCCAGCCGCCGCGGUAAUACCGGC